rnacentral:rRNA from 1 species
UACGUAGGGUGCAAGCGUUGUCCGGAAUUAUUGGGCGUAAAGAGCUCGUAGGCGGUUUGUCGCGUCGGCUGUGAAAACUCGGGGCUCAACUCCGAGCUUGCAGUCGAUACGGGCAGGCUAGAGUUCGGCAGGGGAGACUGGAAUUCCUGGUGUAGCGGUGAAAUGCGCAGAUAUCAGGAGGAACACCGGUGGCGAAGGCGGGUCUCUAGUACGGUACUGACGCUGAGACGCGAAAGCGUGGGGAGCGAACAGG